GGUCAAUGAUGAAAAAUAGCCAAAUCUGAUCAUUAUUUGGUUAAAUAGUGAAUGAUUAGUGAUCAGA